rnacentral:rRNA from 1 species
UUAAAAUGUAAAUUUCUUAAAAACUUAGGUAGUAAUAGUUAUGUUCUCGAAACUUAAAAAAUUUGGCGGUAUUUUAGUCUAUUCAGAGGAACCUGUUUUAUAAUCGAUAAUCCACGAUGGACCUUACUUAAAUUUGUAAUCAGCUUAUAUAUCGUCGUUAUUAGAAUAUUUUAUUAGAAAGUUAAUUUUCAAAAUUUUAUAAAAGAAAAUAUAUCAGAUCAAGGUGUAGCUUAUGUUUAAGUAAAAAUGGGUUACAAUAAAAAUAUUUAUAUGAAUAUAAAUUUGAAAUGUUUAUUGAAGGUGGAUUUGAUAGUAAAAUUAUAAAGAUUAAUAAUUUGAUUUUAGCUCUAAAAUAUGC